AUGGAGAUUGGCUUAGCAGUUGGUGGUGCCUUUCUCUCUUCAGCUUUGAAUGUUCUCUUUGAUAGACUUGCUCCUCAGGGCGAUAUGCUCAACAUGUUUCAGAUGCAUACGGAUGAUGUUCAGCUCUUUGAGAAGCUGGGGGACAUUUUGCUUGGUCUUCAAAUUGUGCUAAGUGAUGCAGAGAAUAAGAAAGCAUCAAAUCAAUUUGUGAGCCAGUGGUUAAAUAAGCUUCAGAGUGCUGUGGACGGUGCUGAAAACUUGAUAGAAGAAGUAAAUUAUGAAGCUUUGAGGCUUAAAGUGGAAGGUCAGGUUCAAAAUCUUGCAGAAACAAGCAACCAGCAAGUAAGCGACCUUAACCUGUCCUUGAGUGAUGAUUUCUUUCUUAACAUAAAGAAGAAGUUGGAAGACACUAUUAAAAAAUUGGAGGGGUUGGAAAAGCAAAUUGGUCGCCUUGGCUUAAAGGAGCAUUUUAGUUCGACGAAACAAGAAACUAGAACACCUUCAACUUCUUUGGUUGAUGAUACUGGUAUCUUUGGAAGGCAGAAUGAAAUAGAGAAUUUGAUUGGCCGUUUAUUGUCUAAGGAUACAAAGGGAAAAAAUCUGGCUGUAGUUCCUAUUGUUGGAAUGGGCGGUGUGGGUAAGACAACACUUGCUAAAGAGGUUUACAAUGAUGAGAGAGUGCAGAAACAUUUUGGUUUGAAAGCUUGGUUUUGUGUUUCUGAGGCAUAUGAUGCUUUCAGAAUAACAAAAGGGUUACUUCAAGAAAUUGGCUCAACUGACUUGAAGGUUGAUGACAAUCUUAAUCAGCUACAAGUCAAAUUGAAGGAAAGGCUAAAUGGAAAAAGGUUUCUUGUUGUCCUUGAUGACGUGUGGAAUGAUAACCAUCCUGAGUGGGAUGACUUGAGAAAUGUUUUGGUACAAGGAGAUAUAGGAAGUAAGAUCAUUGUGACAACACGUAAAGAGAGUGUUGCCUUGAUGAUGGGUAGUGGGGCAAUCAACGUGGGGACUCUGUCUGAUGAAGUCUCUUGGGAUCUAUUCAAACGACAUUCACUAGAAAACAGGGAUCCUAAAGAACAUCUAGAACUUGAAGAGAUUGGAAAACAAAUUGCACACAGGUGCAAAGGGUUGCCUUUAGCUCUAAAAGCACUUGCUGGUAUUUUAUGCUGUAAAUCAAAGGUGGAUGAGUGGAGAGACAUUUUAAGGAGUGAAAUAUGGGAGCUGCCAAGUUGUUCGAAUGGUAUAUUACCAGCGUUGAUGUUGAGCUACAAUGAUCUUCCUGCACGUUUGAAGCAAUGUUUUGCUUAUUGUGCAAUAUAUCUCAAAGAUUAUCAAUUUUGCAAAGACCAAGUUAUUUACAUGUGGAUUGCUAAUGGUCUGGUACAGCAGUUUCAUUCAGGUAACCAAUACUUUCUCGAGCUGAGAUCAAGAUCGCUGUUCGAAAUGGUCUCGGAGUCUUCUGAACAAGACGUAGAGAAAUUCUUAAUGCAUGACCUUGUCAAUGAUUUGGCCCAAAUUGCAUCUUCAAAUCUUUGUAUAAGGUUGGAAGAGAACAAAGGAUCACAUAUGUUGGAACAAUGUCGGCACAUGUCCUAUUCACUAGGAGGAGAUGGUGACUUUGAGAAAUUGAAAUCACUCUUUAAAUCAGAGCAGCUGAGGACAUUGCUUCCACUCAAUAUCCAGUUCCAUUACCCAUUUAAGCUAAGCAAGAGGGUGUUGCAUAACAUACUGCCAGGACUAAGAUCCUUGAGGGUACUAUCAUUGUCUCAUUACCAUAAUAAGGAGUUGCCAAAUGACUUGUUUAUCAAAUUAAAGCUCCUCAGAUAUUUGGACCUUUCUCAGACAAAGAUUUAAAAGUUGCCAGAUUCCAUAUGUGCAUUGUAUAACUUGGAGACACUUCUCCUGUCAGAUUGUGAUUUUCUUGAGGAGCUACUGCUGCAGAUGGAGAAGUUGAUUAACUUGCGUCAUCUUGACAUAAGCAACACUUGUUGCUUGAAGAUGCCCCUACAUCUGAGCAAGUUGAAAAGCCUCCAAGUGCUAAUGGGAGACAAGUUUCUUCUAGGUGGUUCGAGAAUGGAAGAUUUGGGUGAAGCACAGAAUUUGUAUGGAUCUCUAUCGAUUGUAGAGUUGCAAAAUGUGGUUGAUAGAACAGAAGCUGUGAAGGCAAAGAUGAGGGAGAAGAAUCAUGUUGAGAAGUUAUCUUUGGAGUGGAGUGAAAGUAGUAUUGCCGACAAUUCACAAACAGAAAGAGACAUACUUGAUGAACUAUGCCCACAUAAAAACAUAAAAGAAGUCGAAAUCACCGGAUAUAGAGGGACAAAAUUUCCAAAUUGGCUAGCUAAUGUUUUGUUUCUUAAGAUAAUACAAUUGUCUCUUAGCAACUGCAAGGACUGUUAUUCCUUGCCAUCACUAGGACAACCAACUCCCUUGUUUGAAAAUCCUUUGCAUUAGAGGGAUGCAUGGAAUAACAGAGGCGACGCAAGACUUCUAUGGCAGUUCAUCCUCCAAAAAGCCUUUUAACUCUCUUGAGGGGCUUCUAUUUGCAGAUAUGCCGGAGUGGAAGCAAUGGUACGUACUAAGAAAUGGGGAGUUCCCUAUACUUAAGGUCCUUUUAAUUGAUAAUUGCCCUAAACUCAGUUUGAAGACACGCAUCCAACUUUCAAGUUUAAAAGGUUUUGAAGUAAUUGGUUCUCCUAAGGUUGGAGUUGUUUAUGAGGGGAUGAAGGAAGGAGAUUGAGGAAUUAGAUAUUAGUGAUUGUAACUCUCUUACCUCCUUUCCUUUUAGCAUACUGCCCACUACCUUGAAGACAAUAAGAAUAUCUGAUUGCCGGAAAUUGAAAUUGGAGCAGCCAGUGGGUGAGAUGAGUAUGUUUCUCGAGAAAUUGACACUGCGAAAAUGUGAUUGUAUAGAUGAUAUAUCACCUGAGUUUCUCCCAAGAGUACGCAAAUUGUGGGUACAGGAUUGCCACAACCUUAGUAGGUUUUUGAUUCCUACUGCCACUGAAACUCUCUUUAUUGGGAGUUGUAAGAAAGUUGAAAAACUUUCGGCGGCAUGUGGGGGCACCCAGAUGACGUCACUGGAUAUUGAGCACUGUUGUAAGCUGAAGAGGCUGCCAGAACGUAUGCAGGAACUCCUUCCAUCUCUUAAGGAACUAGAUCUGUCUGAUUGUCCAGAAAUAGAGUCCUUUCCUCAAGGAGGAUUGCCCUUCAAUUUACAAUUCCUUUCGAUCUUCCAUUGCAUGAAACUGGUGAAUGGCCGAAAGGAGUGGCGUUUACAGAGAUUCCCCUGUCUCACAAAGUUAGUGAUCUAUCAUGAUGGCAGUGACGAAGAGAUUCUUGCUGGUGAGAAUUGGGAGUUGCCUUCCUCUCUUCAAACACUUAUCAUAUACGAUCUGAAAACAUUAAGCAACCAAGUUCUCAAAAGCCUCACCUCUCUUUCUAUCAUUAAUUGCCCUAAUCUCCAAUCACUUUCCAAAUCAGCACUGCCUUCCUCCCUCUCUCAACUGGAGAUCUCCCGUUGCCAUAAUCUCCAAUUACUUUCCGAAUCAACACUGCCCUCCUCCCUCUCUGAGCUGACCAUCAUCGAUUGCCCUAAGCUCCAAUCCCUUCCAGUUAAAGGGAUGCCCUCUUCCUUCUCUAAACUAUCUAUUCACGACUGCCCAUUGCUCAGACCACUACUAGAAUUUGACAAGGGGGAAUACUGGCCAAAUAUUGCUCAAUUUCCCAUCAUAGACAUCGAUAAGGAAUGCCUGUGA